rnacentral:rRNA from 1 species
UACGUAGGGUGCAAGCGUUGUCCGGAAUUACUGGGCGUAAAGAGUUCGUAGGCGGUUUGUCGCGUCGUUUGUGAAAACCAGCAGCUCAACUGCUGGCUUGCAGGCGAUACGGGCAGACUAGAGUUCGGUAGGGGAGACUGGAAUUCCUGGUGUAGCGGUGAAAUGCGCAGAUAUCAGGAGGAACACCGGUGGCGAAGGCGGGUCUCUGGGCCGAAACUGACGCUGAGGAGCGAAAGCGUGGGGAGCAAACAGG